GCCCGGCUGGCCUAAUGGUUAAGGCGUGGGACUUCUACGGAUGUGAGUCUGUGAGUCAUCCCAAGAUUGCGAGUUCGAGUCUCGCGUCGGGUU
rnacentral:tRNA from 1 species